rnacentral:tRNA from 1 species
GCUCCCGUAGUAUAGCGGUCAAGUAUUCGGGCCUCUCGCGCCUGAGACACGGGUUCGAGUCCCGUCGGGAGCA